rnacentral:lncRNA from 1 species
UGACAAAAAUGUGAGAUUGCUUUUAUUUAAGGGACAUUGUUAGUAUGAAUGCUUCAAAAACGGAAUCAAUAGUCAUCCUACAUUAAAUCCAAAUCGGUGUACUCUAUACACCUGCCUACAUGUCUGCGUGAGCAUGGGUGCUCCCCAAAUGCCUGUAAUUUACAAGAGCUAUUUAAUACUUACUUUCAUUUUUCCUUCCCCACUCAGUUCUUUCAUUUCUCCCGAAUGAAUCAAGGAGAAAUCUCCCAGGAAGGCGAAACCUCUGGACCACCAAGUCCUUGAAGCAGACAAUGAUGAAGUUGGUGGACAUGUUCCCACUGACAUGGAGUGAUCCAGUCUGCAAGGAAAGAGAAGGAAGUUGGCAACACACACACAGCACAGGAGGAAUGAGGGGAGGCUCCUCAUGCACCUCAGUAACUUGGCUCUAGUUAUCCCUGAAGCCCAUCUGCAUCCCCACUCUUUC